rnacentral:rRNA from 1 species
UAGGCCUUUGCUAGGAGGCGUCGAGCGGCGGACGGGUGAGUAAUGCAUAGGAAUCUGCCCGGUAGUGGGGGAUAACCUGAGGAAACUCAGGCUAAUACCGCAUACGUCCUACGGGAGAAAGCAGGGGCUCUUCGGACCUUGCGCUAUCGGAUGAGCUUAUGUCGGAUUAGCUGGUUGGUGAGGUAACGGCUCACCAAGGCGACGAUCCGUAGCUGGUCUGAGAGGAUGAUCAGCCACAUCGGGACUGAGACACGGCCCGAACUCCUACGGGAGGCAGCAGUGGGGAAUAUUGGACAAUGGGGGCAACCCUGAUCCAGCCAUGCCGCGUGUGUGAAGAAGGCCCUCGGGUUGUAAAGCACUUUCAGUGAGGAAGAAGGCUUGUCGGUUAAUACCCGGCAAGAAAGACAUCACUCACAGAAGAAGCACCGGCUAACUCCGUGCCAGCAGCCGCGGUAAUACGGAGGGUGCGAGCGUUAAUCGGAAUUACUGGGCGUAAAGCGUGCGUAGGCGGCUUGAUAAGCCGGUUGUGAAAGCCCCGGGCUCAACCUGGGAACGGCAUCCGGAACUGUCAGGCUAGAGUGCAGGAGAGGAAGGUAGAAUUCCCGG